rnacentral:rRNA from 1 species
CACGUAGGGCGCGAGCGUUUGUCCGGAAUUAUUGGGCGUAAAGAGCUCGUAGGCGGCCUGUUGCGUCCGCUGUGAAAGCCCGGGGCUUAACCCCGGGUCGGCAGUGGAUACGGGCAGGCUAGAGGUAGGUAGGGGAGAAUGGAAUUCCCGGUGUAGCGGUGAAAUGCGCAGAUAUCGGGAGGAACACCGGUGGCGAAGGCGGUUCUCUGGGCCUUACCUGACGCUGAGGAGGCGAAAGCGUGGGGAGCGAACAGG